UGCCUCGCGUACAAGAAGACAAUAAACAAAAUGUCCACAUUUUAGCUUCCAUUGUGUGCCUGAGGAAGAAGACCGAAAGACGAAGUUGGUUCAGCCGCAAUGAGAGGAGGAGGCCCAUUUUUUAAAAUAACGAAGUCACGAUGCUCUAGAGAUUAGGACUACAUAACUGCGGUCUUGCACUUUGACAAGGCUUUCCCUGUGCACUACACGUCAUCACCAGCAGAGGUCAGAGGACCCUCUUGCGGUCGGGAAGCUGAGAGGAUGGAGCAGCACUGGAGCCGGCCGUCUGGGGUAAGCUCUAUUCCAAGAGGUAACCGUGGUGACAGAACAUUCCAAACACGGGACCAGAAACCGCAUCAAGGAGCCAGCGAGGACCCAGAGGCGUGAUCCCCGGCCAGACCUCAGGCGUGAUCACGGCCAGCUGCCGCACAGGCUUACCUGCCCUUUAUAAAAUAUUAUAGAGAACAACCAGCAGGCGUAUGGGGCGGUAAUUAACGAGGCUGUUGUUUGUGUGUGAGGGAGGGAGACGGCCGGGCUGGCGGGUCGGCAGGGGAAAUCACAGCUGUUUAUUCACAGGGCUGAGGUCCAGCGA